GGGCACAUGGUGUAGUUGGUUAUCACGUCCGCUCAGCAUCUGAUGUGCCUGGUUCAAUUCCCAGUGUGUCCA